GCUUGGCGAACUCCUUGAGGACAUGGGCUUUGUUUUCUGUUCCAUUUUACCCUCCACUGUGCCUUCGCAGGGAUUCCCCAGGAUCAACCAUCUGAGCAGAUACCUUGGAAUGUCCCCAGAUUUCAGAGCCUCGGACCAGCAGCAACACACUCUGAAGUAGGUCUCAGAAGACAAAAAGCUGAAAUCAACUCAUGCUUCCUGCUACACAGAAUCCACUGAGAGGAAAAGGAAACUUCACCGAAACUUCAGAAAGCUACAGAAAUGACAUCCAUUUUCACAAUCCCAGAAGGAAAGAUGCAUCUGAAGGGAAUAAAAACAGAGCAAUGGAAGAGUAUUUGUUAAAAUAAAUGGCUUUGACAGGG
rnacentral:lncRNA from 10 species